AUCAGAGAGUGGAAAGUACCUGGGAGGUGCUCUACUGAGGGCUAAAAGAGGGAUGCAAAGUCAAGCCUGAGGAGUGUAGAAUGGGGGUUAUAUUAAUAUGCUUAUUCUGGGAUUUACUGAGGGAUGUGAGAGGAGAUCCCUGUGAAUCCAAGCCCCUGCAGGAAGGGUAAGCUUGAAGAAGCUGUGGGAGAGCCCUGCUUGUAGGUUUGAUAGGAAGAAGUUUAGGAAGGUAGCAUCAAGGUGUUGGAAGGAUUGAACCUUGACUGUCUGUCUUGGGGUCCCUGACUGGAAUCCAGUGUUGAAGGUGAACCUGGGCUCUUCUGUCUGCCAUGGGUGAGGUGGCAUAAGCCCUUGAGAAGGGAAGGGGUGCAACUAAAUGCUGACCUGGCUGAGUUAUAAGAAGAGGGACCAUGGCAGGGCUGGAGCGGCUGUUGGGUGCUACAUGGAGAAGGAACCUGCUCUGCUGUACCCAGCCAAGAGGGAGUGUACCAGCAGAGGGAGACAUCUUUGACAUUCUCUAGAGGUCAAGAGCUAUGACGAAGACUCUCAAAAGCCUGGGAGAGACAGUGCACAGAAAACACAAAGCAAUAGUGUUCUCAACGCAGCCACCAAAGCACCACCCCUGAGACCUGCUCGGGCUCAGCCUGCUUUCAGGCUCUUUUGUUGAACCUGUGCACAUCAGCUCAAGCCUUCAGCAGUAUGGACCUCUUUCCUCUCCACUCAAGGAACAGCAAAAUGGCUGCUCACACUACCAGUGGCAGGCUGUACUGAGGUAUGGCGGAUAGGUAACCACUGGCCUGAUUCAUUAUUUUAUCUUGAAGAUAAAAAAAACCCCUCUAUUUCCUCACUUUCUCCUCCUGUGGACCUCCUCCAUACUCAUUAGUUAUCUCUGUUCCCUGCAUUGUGAACUGUCCACUUACAUCUUCAAAUAAGGUGACUUAAAAUGGAUGCUGUAGAACAUGGUCUACCCAGUGCAACAUAGUGAUAACCUGAUUGCCUUGGCUUACAAAGUCUGCUGAGGCUGACAGCUAUAGUCCUGUGUACUGAUCUCAUCUCACUUCAGUGCCCUUGCCUGCCUCUGACAAAGAUAUGAGAGCUGCGGGGUGUCUCUACCACAGAGCCAGGCAAGGGUGUAGUCCUGUGCUAUGUUCUUUGUCUUCCAUUUUACAAAGAGUUUGAUCCAAAACCAGAGUACCGCAGUGUAAACGCUUCCAGGGCAAGCUCUCAGCUGAACUCUGAGCAUGCACUGUUUUGUGCUGACACGCAGCCUUAGAUCUCUGGGAGAAUCAUAUUGAUAAAAUUGUAUACUUCUCUUUGAAUUUCAAAAUCAAAAGAGAAACUGAAAUCACCCCCUGCCAUGCUCUGACUGCCCGCCACCAUCAUAUUUGGCCAAGAAACUAUUUGCUGUAGAAAACCAUCAACCAAGAAAUAAUCUCCUGUCUACACCCGUUUAGAAAGCACUUGCUGUAGGGUAAAUAAACUCCCAAAGCAGAGGACUCGGUCUACCAGAGAGGUAGAAAUUCUAUUAAGUGAUGGGGAAAUCAGAAAUGUAAUCCAAUUCUCACCUUCUUCCUUUGCUAACUAUUUUAAAAUAAAUGUAAUACUGUAUGUAAUAUUACUGGCUGAACACAAAGGGAGGAAAAAUACAGUUCUGUAAAAAUACCAUGAAAAUUCACCACCCCAAAU